UAGGGAAUCUUCGGCAAUGGGGGGAACCCUGACCGAGCAACGCCGCGUGAGUGAAGAAGGUUUUCGGAUCGUAAAGCUCUGUUGUUAAGGAAGAACGAGUGUGAGAAUGGAAAGUUCAUACUGUGACGGUACUUAACCAGAAAGGGACGGCUAACUACGUGCCAGCAGCCGCGGUAAUACGUAGGUCCCGAGCGUUGUCCGGAUUUAUUGGGCGUAAAGCGAGCGCAGGCGGUUAGAUAAGUCUGAAGUUAAAGGAAGUGGCUCAACCAUUGUAGGCUUUGGAAACUGUUUAACUUGAGUGCAGAAGGGGAGAGUGGAAUUCCAUGUGUAGCGGUGAAAUGCGUAGAUAUAUGGAGGAACACCGGUGGCGAAGGCGACUUUCUGGUCUGUAACUGACGCUGAUGUGCGAAAGCGUGGGGAUCAAACAGG
rnacentral:rRNA from 1 species